rnacentral:tmRNA from 1 species
GGGGGUGCACCGGUUUCGACUGGUACGGUUCGGGGUGCAGGCUGCAGGUGGAGUGCCGAUCUCCUGAUUCGGCAACAAUUUAACUGCCAACAACGACAGUUACGAUUACGCCUUAGCGGCGUAACCGCGUGGAACCCUUCCGCCGCCUUGAGGAAGGGCUUCCGCGUCGCAAUCGAGGCUGGCCGAUCCCCGGUUCCGGACGGGGUGAGGCGAGAAACUCCCGGAAUACGGACGGGCCGCGUGCCGCGCAGCCAAGCCCGUCCCGACAAUAUAAUGCGCGGCUAAAUCUGUAGAAGCCUGUAUUCCGCGUAUUAGGACGCGGGUUCGAUUCCCGCCACCUCCAAAA